CCUACGACAACGCCUAAUUUAUGGGAGAUAAAUUAACCGUUCUCGUAGAGUGUAAUAGAGAACAAAUUACAUAUUAUGUUGCGAUAGUGUAUAUAUUUUUUAGAAAUGUUAUAAAACGGUUGAAAAGUGUUUUUGUAAUAUGACAAAGAGAAAUAGUUUUAUCAAUUAGAUUAAAACCAUUCUCAUAUAAUUUUUAAUUAUUUAAUUAAAAAAUUAAUUUUAUAAGGCCGUUCUCUUAUGUUUGAUUAAAAUUAAUUUUAUUUGUGAAAAAAAUCCUCUAACCGGAUCGAAUAGUGGUCCUCUUGCUAGAGAAUUUUUUGGAAAUAAAAAAAAUUAUCAUGUCCAUCAAGAUAAACAUCAGCCGUUCCCCUUCCUAGGUCAUCUUGCUAAAACAAAUUAUUUCCCUCCCUGUCCAAAAUUAAGAGCGCUAAAACAAAAAAAUUUCGUUCCCUUUUUGAAAUCCAGAGCGCUAAAACAAAUUAUUUGGUUCCCUUUCUAAAAUUAAGAGCGCUGAACCUGAAAGUGAAAUUUUUUCUCUCCCACACUCAUCAAACCUUAACCCUAACGCUUUCUUUCCUUCCCCGUCGAUUCUUCCAAAGGUGUGACGAUUCUUCUCCCAAACCUUAAUCCUAACCCUUUCUUCCCUUAUCCUUCUUCUCAAACCCUUCAACUUGCAUACACAGUUAGGAUUUUAGGGUUUAUCAAGGGUUUCACGAAACUCAAGUACAUCACGAAAUUAUGUCAUUUAACGGUUUUAGGAAACAUCUCAAUCAAAGGUUUGAAGUAAGUCUCUCACGAAGACAAUGAUUUCCCUGAGAGAUGCAAGGGUCAUAUCAUGCUAUAAGGAGGAUUUUUUCAUUUUCAAGUUGUGUACGAUUCGUCGCUCUGAAAUAACUUUGCUCAGCCUUGUUGGAAUUACUAGUAGCUGAGAUAAUGUGUUGACUGGUGGAACUACUGGCAGCUGAGACAGUGUGCGAGAGCUCAAUUCGUUCUGGUAACAAAAUAAUUUAGGGUUACAUUAUUAUUUUGAGAAAUUUGUGUCUAGUGAUUUGGAGUUGUGGUGCUUAUUGAGUCUACUGAUUUUUAGUACAAUUUGUUUUCUCGGCCUUUUUUAGUACUUUACUGUAUUGUGAAAAUGAUGCAUAUAAUUUGUUUGUGAAUAUGAUAACUUAUUUGAGUACUUUACUGUACUGUGAAAAUGACAUACAUAACUUUAGUGUAUUUGAAAAAGAAGUAAAGUUGGAAGAUAUAUUAAUUAUAAGAGAUUCACCUUUCCAUCUCUAUUAGCCAUUCAUUUUUAUUUUAUAUAUAUUAUUACUUUCAUAUUUGGGAAAGAGCAACUGAAGUUCAGAGUUCAAAAGUUCAGAGUUCAGAAGUUUAGAGUUCAUUGUGAUAGUAAAAUUUCUUCUCAACAUCCAACUCCCAAUUUGAAUUUAACUUCUGGUAUAGGAGGUUCACCUUUCAUUUUUAUUUUUCAGUAAAGUAACUGAAGUUUUGUGAUAUGCUUUUUCAGCAUUGACAAGUGUUACUGCUCAUUGUGAUUGUAAAAAAUGUGUCACAUUCUUUUGUCUCUCAUGGUUGAUAUCCCUCUCAUUCUCGUCCUAGUUAUUACAAGUCAUAUGUCGAAUUAGAUGAAUCAUAACUCCCUAAUAUCUGUGUCAAUUCAAGCAUACUUCACUCCAGGCAGUUAAACAAUACCCAACUCCCAGCAGAUUUGAGUCUUUUAAUUGUCAUUCAAAACGCCAACGACAACACUCGUAUCAAUUCCUAAGCGGCCAUGGCGGAAGUGUUUUAUAUGAAUGAAAGUAUAUGGUGUACUAUUGGGAGGUUUAGACAGCAUUAGAAUAGAAGAUUCUUGAGCUAGAUGGCUUAGAAAUGAAAGGUACUUAAUAAGACCCUGCAUUUACCCUGGUUCAUUGUAAGUGUAAACUUCAGGCAUACAAUGAUAAACAUGAUGAGACAAGUUUGUUAACGGCUCAUCUUUUCACUAUGGUCCUUUGAACCUCUCAUUGAAAAAUAGUGAUACUUGAGAUGAUUUAAAUUGCAUAAACAUUUGUUUGUUGCAGUGAGUAUUCUAUGCAAUUGAAUCCUUCAUGGAUAAAAGUUGAAGCAUUAUCAAGAUGAUUUGGUUAAUAAAAUGAAAAAGGCUGCAACCAAGGAACUCUGGAAUGUGAGUGGUGAUCCGGAAUUGUACGGAAACCUCUUAAAAAAACUCAUUAUUCAUGUUGUGAAUAACGGUACCGAUAUCAGUAUCUUCCGAAACUGUUUUAUCGCUGCCGUUGAAAAUACACUUGAUGCACGUUAGGAUGUAUUGUUCCGUAGCAAACUUCCAGCGGUCAACUUCAAUCUGCAAAAGUUGGAUGUGAAUUUUGUGCACCGUGAACAUGGUCUUUCUAUUGAAAACAACAUCAAGGGUAUCCAAUUGAAAAGCACCGAAUUUGGAUCUACUGAGGAUGUUAGAAAGAGUACACGUCUUGAUUUUCAACUGGAGUUUAGUGAAAGAAAUUCAUGUACAACUUUGAUUGUGAACCAUGAUUGACAUUUGGAAUAUAUAUAUAAUGAAUUAUAUUAUUUUGUUAUGUUAUUUAUUGAAAAUGAAAGGUCAUUUUAAAUUCUGUAUUUGAGUAUUAUUAAAUAAAAAGAAUUGUAAACAAUAGU